UAAGGAAUAUUGGACAAUAGACGCAAGUCUGAUCCAGCCAUGCCGCGUGAAGGAUGACUGCCCUCUGGGUUGUAAACUUCUUUUAUAGGGGAAGAAAGUUAUUUUUUAGGAUAUUUGACGGUACCCUAUGAAUAAGCACCGGCUAACUCCGUGCCAGCAGCCGCGGUAAUACGGAGGGUGCAAGCGUUAUCCGGAUUCACUGGGUUUAAAGGGUGCGUAGGCGGGUAUGUAAGUCAGUGGUGAAAUACCGGAGCUUAACUUCGGAACUGCCAUUGAUACUAUAUAUCUUGAAUAUUGUGGAGGUAAGCGGAAUAUGUCAUGUAGCGGUGAAAUGCUUAGAGAUGACAUAGAACACCGAUUGCGAAGGCAGCUUGCUACGCAAAUAUUGACGCUGAGGCACGAAAGCGUGGGGAUCAAACAGGAUUAGAUACCCUGGUAGUCCACGCCCUAAACGAUGAUUACUCGACAUUAGCGAUACACAGUUAGUGUCUGAGCGAAAGCAUUAAGUAAUCCACCUGGGAAGUACGACCGCAAGGUUGAAACUCAAAUGAAUUGACGGGGUCAUAGCUGUUU
rnacentral:rRNA from 1 species